rnacentral:rRNA from 1 species
AGAGAGAGACAUGCGCGCAUAUCAAUAAGCGGAGGAAAAGAAACUAACAAGGAUUCCCCUAGUAACGGCGAGUGAAGCGGGAAGAGCUCAAAUUUGAAAUCUUAAAGGGUUUCCCUUUACGAAUUGUAGUUUAAAGAAGUGUUUUCUGUUGAGGUUUUGGUAAAAGUUCUUUGGAAUAGGACAUCAUAGAGGGUGAGAAUCCCGUAUUUGACCUUUACUUUCAACUUUGUGAUACACUUUCAAAGAGUCGGAUUGUUUGGGAAUGCAGUCCAAAAUGGGUGGUAAAUUUCAUCUAAAGCUAAAUAUUGGCGAGAGACCGAUAGCGAACAAGUACCGUGAGGGAAAGAUGAAAAGAACUUUGAAAAGAGAGUUAAACAGUACGUGAAAUUGUCAAAAGGGAAGCGUUUGACACCAGUGUUGUUUUUCUGAAAAUCAAUUAAAGAACUGUUUAUGCUAAGCUGUUUAGACUUUAUCAGCUAUCUGUUUAGUUUUGAGCUUUUCUUUAAUGCACUUUUCAGUUAACAAGUCAACAUCAAUUUCUUUUGCUGUAAAAAAGCUUGAGGAAGGUGGCUUGAGAUUCGUCUUAAGUGUUUAUAGCCUCUUGCCUAUGCAGUCGGAGAGAUUGAGGUCUGCAGCGUAGAUCCUUCGGGGCUAAAUGCAUUUGUGCUAAGUUAUAGCAUUUUAUAGACAACUUGUUGACUAUGAUUUGUCUUGUAGCUUACUCGCUUAUGUUAUUUACCUACGCUUAGGAUGUUGACGCAUGAGAUAUACGC